CUUGAUGAGUUAAUUUAUGCCCAAUCCUUUUUCACCAAGACUUGACUCAAUUGGUGAUUAGCAAAGAAUAAGCAUGUAGUCACGCUGCUCAUGCAUCCUAGAGCCAUUCUCAGUUAACUAGUACGAUGCGUUCACACCUUUGACCUUGCAGCAGCGGCUAACGCUGCUCAUGCAUCCUAGAGCCAUUCUCAGUUAAUUAGUCCGAUGCGUUCACACCUUUGACCUUGCAGCAGCGGCUAACACGUUUCACGAAUGCUAUUGCGCUACGAAGCUAUG
rnacentral:lncRNA from 1 species